rnacentral:lncRNA from 1 species
UCCCAAAGUACUGGGAUUACAGGCAUGAGCCACCGCGCCUGGCCAUGUGUGUCUCUUUCAUGGUGGCUCCUGAAACAGCAAGGCAGAGGAGUUUUGGUUCCUCACCCUGGCUGAGGUCCCAGCGGCAUGACUUUAGGGUCCAGGGUGGAUAAGGGAGGCUGUGGAGUCCAGAUUGAGUAAAACCAGAGGGUGAGGAAUUGGUAGUGUUGGAGCUGAAAAGCAGGUGCAGUAGGAAGUGACUGUGCCUCAAAAAAACACCUGUCCUUCCCGCCGUCUCACUCUGCUGCCCACACUGGAGUGCAGUAGCACGAUAUCGGCUCACUGCAACCUACACUUCUGGGGUUCAAGCGAUUCUCAUGCCUUGGCCUCCAGAGCAGCUGGGACUACAGGUAUGUGCCACCAUGCCUGGCCGAUUUUUGGAUUUUUAUUAGAGAAGGGAUUUCACCAUGUUGACCAUGCUGGUCUCAAACUCCGGACCUCAAGUGAUCCGCCCACCUCGGCCUCUCAAAAUUCUGAGAUUACAGGCAUGAGCCACUGCACCCGGCCUGGUAGGACAGGUUUUGCAUAUGGAGCUGAACGUGAUUUAUUUUAUAAGACAGAAUCUCACUCUGUCGCCCAGGCUGGAGUGCUGUGGCUCUCUCAGCUCACUGCAACCUCUGCCUCGCCGGCUCACUCAAGCAGAAUGUGGUUUUAAGGCUUGGCUAUGGGCCGGGUGCGGUGGCUCACGCCUGUAAUCCCAGCACUUUGGGAGGCUGAGGCGGGCGGAUCACGAGGUCAGGAGAUCAAGACCAUCCUGGCUAACACGGUGAAACCCCGUCUCUACUAAAAAUACAUAAAAUUAGCCGGGCAUGGUGGUGGGCGUCUGUAGUCCCAGCUCCUCGGGAGGCUGAGGCAGGAGAAUGGCGUGAACCCGGGAGGCGGAGCUUGCAGUGAGCCAAGAUCCCGCCACUGCACUCCAGCCUGGGCGACACAGCCAGACUCUCUCAAAAGAAAAACAAAACAAAACAAAAAAAAAGGCUUGGCUGUGGAGCUUCACAUACAGAAUGACCUUUGUUUACAGGGGUGUGUCCCCAGCCAACAGUAAGUAGACAGGGCUGAAAGAGCAUAGGCUAUGGAACCAGGAAGACCUGGGUUUGAAUCCUACUUCUACAGUCUAUUAACAAUGUAUGUUUGGACAAAUUACUUAUCCUCUCUGAGUUUCUGUGUUCUCAUCCAUAGAAUGGGGCUGUGGUGGGGAUUUAGAAUCAAAGGCAUAUAUUUUAGUUGAGACAGGGUCUCACUCUGUUGCCCAGGCUGGAAUGCAGUGGCGUGAUCACGGCUCACUGCGGCCUCGAUCUCCCUGGGCUCAGGUAAUCCUCCCACCUCAGCCUCCUGAGUAGCUGGGACUACAGGUGUGCACCACUAAGCCAGCUAAUUUUUGUAUUUUUUGUAGAGAUGGGGUUUUGCCAUGUUGCCCAGGCUGGUCUCGAACUCCUGGACUUGUGAUCUUCCCGCCUCAGACUCCCAAAAUGUCGUUUUUUUUUUUUUUUCCUUUUUCUGGAGAACGGGGUCUCGCUAUAUUGCCCAGGCAGGUCUCGAACUCCUGGGCUCAAGCUAUCCUCCCGCCUCUUGCCUCUCUGAGAGCUGGGAUUACAGGCGUGAGCCACCGUGCCCGGCCCAGACUCCCAAAAUGAUGGGAUUACAGAUUUAUGUCAUUUCAUUGGUGGAUGUUGAAAACAUGGAAGUUGAUGAAGUUAUCCAGGACAUGCUUUUGUAGAGCCUUCUGAGGAGGUGACCAAGUCAGAACUCUUGUAAUCACCAAUUUAAGGCAUACAACAAAACAAGAGGAGACAGCAAAGGAGACAGGGAAGAACUAAAGAGCUGGUUAGAGAAGGAAGAGAAAGAUGAGGUCUGCCAUGGAAGCCCAAGGAACAGUUUGCAGAAGAAGGAGAUUCAUUGGUCAAUAGGGUCAAGUGAGGCCGGGCGCAGUGGCUCACGCCUGUAAUCCCAACACUUUGGGAGGCCGAGGGCGGAUCACAAGGUCAGGAGUUCGAGACCAGCCUGUCCAACAUGGUGAAACCCCGUCUCUACUAAAAAUACAAAAAUUAGCCAGGUGUGGUGGCGUGCACCUGUAAUCCCAGCUACUCAGGAGGCUGAGGCAGGAGAAUUGCUUGAACCCGGGAGGCGGAGGGUGCAGUAAGCCGAGAUCCCACCACUGCACUCCAGCCUGGGCGACAGAGCGAGACUCAAUCUCAAAACAAAACAAACAAAAAACAAAACAAAACAAAAAACAGGGUCAAAUGAGAUAAGAAGCCCACUGGAUUUGGCUACUGGGAAACUGCUGGUGGCCUUUGCCAAAGC